rnacentral:rRNA from 1 species
ACGUAGGUCACAAGCGUUGUCCGGAAUUACUGGGUGUAAAGGGAGCGCAGGCGGGGAGACAAGUUGGAAGUGAAAUCUAUGGGCUCAACCCGUAAACUGCUUUCAAAACUGUUUUUCUUGAGUAGUGCAGAGGUAGGCGGAAUUCCCGGUGUAGCGGUGGAAUGCGUAGAUAUCGGGAGGAACACCAGUGGCGAAGGCGGCCUACUGGGCACCAACUGACGCUGAGGCUCGAAAGUGUGGGUAGCAAACAG